rnacentral:rRNA from 1 species
UUAGGCGAACGGGUGAGUAACGCGUGAGUAACCUGGCCCUGGAGUGGGGGACGAACAUUGGAAACGACUGCUAAUACCGCAUAAGCCCACGAUCCGGCAUCGGAUUGAGGGAAAAGGAUUUAUUCGCUUCAGGAUGGACUCGCGUCCAAUUAGCUGGUUGGUGAGGUAACGGCCCACCAAGGCGACGAUUGGUAGCCGGACUGAGAGGUUGAACGGCCACAUUGGGACUGAGACACGGCCCAG